GAAAAUCAUAAACGCGCCUCGUACACCAACACUGCAGGUACACGUAUAUAGGGAAACCAACUUUUUUCUUCAUUAUUCUGAUUUUUUAUGUAUCGUCUGAGUUGUUGUCACACGAAUGUUUACUCCAUAACCAUUUUGUUUUCUAUAUGUCAUAUUUUGCCGCAUUUGAUGAUUUCCCCACAUCCUUCCUUUUGUCUAUAUUAUUAUGAUAUUCUCCUGGAAAGAGCUCUUUUUGAAUAAAAGGGAUCAACGAACCCAUUACCUUACCUUUAAGAUAGAUCGGUAAACAUGGGCAUAAUUAUGGGUGAUUAUUCAGACUAGUGCACAUAUUUUACAGUUCAAACAAGGCAAUGUCGAGCGUGGCAUCCCCUCGUAUGUAACAUAUUGGGGACAAAUAUGGACACUAUAUUUGUAUAUGACACAUGCAGAAAAUGGUAAAUUGAAUAUGCAUUUUUGAUACAUAAACUAUUUUUUUAGAAAUCAACCAAAACA
rnacentral:lncRNA from 1 species